rnacentral:sRNA from 1 species
GUAAGGAUGCAUCUUGGUCUUAUAACUUUGGUUAAUUCAAUGAUUUGGUUAUUAAGUUGAUUUUUAAGGAGUAAUCACUAUUUAGAUGGCUGACUUUAGAUCAUGUUGGUGUUUGUCUUAGUACAUUUAAAAUGAGUAGUCAAAAAUAGUUACUAUCAGAUUUUGUAAUCUUGACAACAACAAAUGUAAUCACCAUUAUCCAUUGUAAUAUUAUGAAUCUGAAACCAGCUCCUGUACCUAGCUCCUGGAAGGUGAGAAGAGGCCCAGAAGUGGCAGGGCAGGCAGAAAAUUAUGCAUGAUGCCAUUGGAUUCAGAAGUACAUUAACUGGCAAGAACUACACAAUGGAAUGGUAUGAACUUUUCCAACUUGGCAACUGUACAUUUCCCCAUCUCCGACCUGAAAUGGAUGCCCCUUUCUGGUGUAAUCAAGGCGCUGCCUGCUUUUUUGAGGGAAUCGAUGAUGUUCACUGGAAGGAAAAUGGGACAUUAGUUCAAGUAGCAACUAUAUCAGGUAAGUUUUGAAAAUAUAGUAAUAUUUGAUCAUUGCAUCAAAAACCAAAUGAAAGAAAUUGUUAUACUUCCAUUGAAACAUUUCAGUAAUGUUUUACUUAGAGGUCAUUUGUAAAAUGUACUUUUGGAACCAUUAAACUUUGGGAAUUUU